rnacentral:rRNA from 1 species
ACGCUCGACACCUACGGGAGGUAGCAGUAGGGAAUCUUCCACAAUGGACGCAAGUCUGAUGGAGCAACGCCGCGUGAGUGAAGAAGGUCUUCGGAUCGUAAAACUCUGUUGUUAGAGAAGAACACGAGUGAGAGUAACUGUUCAUUCGAUGACGGUAUCUAACCAGCAAGUCACGGCUAACUACGUGCCUGCAGCCGCGGUAAUCUGAGCGGGCUGGCAAGGC